rnacentral:rRNA from 1 species
UGCAGUCGAACGAUGAACCAGUUUCGGCUGGGGAUUAGUGGCGAACGGGUGAGUAACACGUGGGCAAUCUGCCCUGCACUCUGGGACAAGCCCUGGAAACGGGGUCUAAUACCGGAUAUGACCAUCUUGGGCAUCCUUGAUGGUGUAAAGCUCCGGCGGUGCAGGAUGAGCCCGCGGCCUAUCAGCUAGUUGGUGGGGUAGUGGCCUACCAAGGCGACGACGGGUAGCCGGCCUGAGAGGGCGACCGGCCACACUGGGACUGAGACACGGCCCAGACUCCUACGGGAGGCAGCAGUGGGGAAUAUUGCACAAUGGGCGAAAGCCUGAUGCAGCGACGCCGCGUGAGGGAUGACGGCCUUCGGGUUGUAAACCUCUUUCAGCAGGGAAGAAGCGAGAGUGACGGUACCUGCAGAAGAAGCACCGGCUAACUACGUGCCAGCAGCCGCGGUAAUACGUAGGGUGCAAGCGUUGUCCGGAAUUAUUGGGCGUAAAGAGCUCGUAGGCGGCUUGUCACGUCGGUUGUGAAAGCCCGGGGCUUAACCCCGGGUCUGCAGUCGAUACGGGCAGGCUAGAGUUCGGUAGGGGAGAUCGGAAUUCCUGGUGUAGCGGUGAAAUGCGCAGAUAUCAGGAGGAACACCGGUGGCGAAGGCGGAUCUCUGGGCCGAUACUGACGCUGAGGAGCGAAAGCGUGGGGAGCGAACAGGAUUAGAUACCCUGGUAGUCCACGCCGUAAACGGUGGGAACUAGGUGUGGGCGACAUUCCACGUCGUCCGUGCCGCAGCUAACGCAUUAAAGUUCCCCCGCCUGGGGGAGUACGGGCCGCAAGGCUAAAACUCAAAAGGAAUUUGACGGGGGGCCCGCACCAAGCGG